GAUGAACGCUGGCGGCGUGCCUAAUACAUGCAAGUCGAGCGAACAGACGAGGAGCUUGCUCCUCUGACGUUAGCGGCGGACGGGUGAGUAACACGUGGAUAACCUACCUAUAAGACUGGGAUAACUUCGGGAAACCGGAGCUAAUACCGGAUAAUAUAUUGAACCGCAUGGUUCAAUAGUGAAAGACGGUUUUGCUGUCACUUAUAGAUGGAUCCGCGCCGCAUUAGGUAGUUGGUAAGGUAACGGCUUACCAAGGCAACGAUGGGUAGCCGACCAGUGAGAGGGUUCGGCCCACCGGGACCGGGACCCGGGCCCGAACCCCAAGGGGGGCAGGAGGGGGGAAUUUUGGCGAAUGGGGGAAAGCCCUACCGAGCCAACCCGGGGGGGGGAAGAAGGUUUUUCGAUUCUAAAAACUUUUUUAUUGGGAGAAACCAAAGUUAUAAAAAACAUUGCCGGUUUGAAGGUAACCAAAGAAGAAGGCCCGGCUAACCUCGGG
rnacentral:rRNA from 1 species